CCCCUCAAACAUAAAUUCAGGUUGAUUAGAGUUUGGGGCUUGCUGUAUCUCCUUAGUAGAUGACCUAAAAUCACAGUUCACUAAGUUCUUUUGUUUAAGGUUAUGACUUAGUGGUGAAAAAACAAACAAACAAACAAAAAUAGGAUCACUUGAGCCCAGGAGGUCAAGGCUGCAGUAAGCCAUAAUUGCACCACUGCACUCCAGUUAGAAACCACUUAGGUUCUUAGAAGAUGUGUUUCCAUAACACUGAGCAAAUCUUCAGUCUUCACUUAACAAUGUGACAAGUGUAUUGUUGGUUUGCAUGGAAGGGCUGAG
rnacentral:lncRNA from 1 species